AAUCUCAAGGGGUAGGGGAUGUCAGCGACCCAAUUACGGCCACAGCAGCCCAUGGGCCGGGCCUGGUUGAGUGCCACAUGAAGGGAGGCCUGACUACAAGUAUCCACGUAGGAAGCAGCGAAGAGGCAUCUGGGCUUGAAUCAGGCAAAGGCAACGGCGGCUCUCUCCUUACCCUUAUCUUCUCCUACCUGAUGUUCUUCCUCCUCCCUCCUUCCCCAAAUCCAUGUAUCUGAACUCGAAUCAUCUGUAAUGGAGUAAUUCGCGUGCGGAACCUAACACACAUUCUUUUGUAUCGUUGCACGUCAUUCAGGGAUACUUCUUCGAAGGAUUGUGGCCAAUAUUCUUGUAAGAUGAAGUUGCAACGCAAUGGAGCACACAUUCUUGUGGAUCGUUGCACGUCAUUCAGGGAUACUUCUUCGAAGGAUUGUUUACUGGAACUCAUGGUGGUGUCGUUUGCUUCCUCUUUGCUUUAGCUGUAUAUAAAUAAUUAGAUAUUGAUCUAUAUACAUGGAUGUAUUUUGUAUGUAAGCUGACUAUUCAUGUGUGAGUUUACAAAACUGUGUGCCAAAUUGGAAGAAAGUUAUCUCUUUCAUUCAAGUCAGUUCGGGCAGAGUAUAAACCUUGUAGCAUUUUUGCUUAGCAAUGCUAUCCACAAAGAAACAGAAUGAAAAGACGACUAAUAUCCCAGAAUCAAGAAGAACGUGCAUGUGCUCCGUUGGGGGUUGCUGAACCUUAUGCCAACCAGG
rnacentral:lncRNA from 1 species